AUGCCGUAAUGAGGGCACGCAGUGAUGUACUCUUUGGAGGUGUUCCCAUGCCUCCGAGAUGGACUCCUCAGUAUGCUACAAGAAACUUGAAAUCUUGUUCCGAAGGGC
rnacentral:snoRNA from 1 species